AUUGAUUCAUUCAUUCGUUCAGCAAAUAGUCAUGGAGAGUCUACUAUGCCCAACAAGAGGAAAAACCCGUGAUGCCUGAGAGUCUAAAAUUGUGUUAGUGAUUCACUGACCUGCAGAAAUUUGUGGGAGUGACUUCUUUGGACCUCUGUAUUGUAUUCCACCUCAGCAUGUUUAUGUCUGAUGAUAGCUAUAUGUGUAAAGCAUUAGUAAAUGUGAAAAUCUAAUGCACAAAUUAUUGUGGCUUUUCAUUCUAGAAUUAUAAGAGACCAUGGAUUAAUCAACCUUAGAAAGUUUCAAUUAAUGGAACGGCGGUAUCCCAAGGAGGUCCAGGACCUGUAUGAAACAAUGAGGCGAUUUGCAAGAAUUGUGGGGCCAGUGGAACAUGACAAAUUCAUUGAAAGCCAUGCCUUGGAAUUUGAACUCCGAAGGGAAAUCAAGAGGCUCCAAGAAUACAGGACAGCAGGCAUUACCAAUUUUUGUAGUGCCAGAACCUACGAUCACCUCAAGAAGACACGGGAGGAAGAGCGCCUUAAACGCACUAUGCUCUCAGAAGUUCUCCAGUAUAUCCAGGACAGUAGU
rnacentral:sRNA from 1 species